AAUGGGCGCAAGCCUGAUGCAGCAACGCCGCGUGAAUGAUGAAGGCCUUCGGGUCGUAAAGUUCUGUCCAAAGGGAAGAAUACAGUGACGGUACCUUUGGAGGAAGCCCCGGCUAACUACGUGCCAGCAGCCGCGGUAAUACGUAGGGGGCAAGCGUUAUCCGGAAUCACUGGGCGUAAAGGGAGCGUAGGCGGUUUGACAAGCCAGAGGUGAAAGGCAAUAGCUUAACUAUUGUAAGCCUUUGGAACUGUCGAACUUGAGUGCAGGAGAGGAAAGUGGAAUUCCUAGUGUAGCGGUGAAAUGCGUAGAUAUUAGGAGGAACACCAGUGGCGAAGGCGACUUUCUGGACUGUAACUGACGCUGAGGCUCGAAAGCGUGGGGAGCGAA
rnacentral:rRNA from 1 species